rnacentral:rRNA from 1 species
GAUAUUAUUGAUUUCUCACCUUCUAAAGAACCGUAAUGCCAUUAAUUUGGUGUCACGGGGAAUUAGGACUGUUACCUUGAAAAAAUUAGAGUGUUUAAAGCAGGCUCACGCUUGAAUACAUUAGCAUGGAAUAAUGAAAUAGGACAUCCGAUUCUAUUUUGUUGGUUUCUAGGAUCGAUGUAAUGAUUAA